rnacentral:rRNA from 1 species
UGUAACAACUCACCUGCCGAAUGAAUUAGCCCUGAAAAUGGAUGGCGCUAAAGCGGGUAGCCGACACCAUGCCGUCUGUUUAAAUAAUAACAGAUGAGUAGGAGGGCGUGGUGGCCGUAUCGAAGCAUGCGUGCGAACGCGUGUGGAACGGCCACUAGUGCAGAUCUUGGUGGUAGUAGCAAAUAUUCAAGCGAGAUCCUUGAAGGGCGAAGCGGGGAAGGGUUCCACGCGAACAUUGAUUGGGCGUGGGUGAGUCGUUCCUAAGCCGAGUGGUCAUUGCUAAAAAUCGGCGAAAGGGAAGCGGGUUGAAAUUCCCGCACACGGAUGUGGAGGCGGUGACGCUUUAUUGAGACGAAUACGCUGGCGGUGGCGCUGGGCAGAGAUGUCUUUUCUGUUUAACCAUUAAUCGAGCGGUGUGGAAUCCGCUUGUCGGGAGAAACACGCUUGAAAGGGAAGAGCGCCGGGCCUUUCCGGCGUCCAGCUCGCCACCGACGGCCCUUGAAAAUUUGUCUGCUGAAUAAAAUCCACGCCGUGGCGUACCGAUAACCGCAUCAGGUCCCCAAGGUGAACAGCCUCUGUCCAAUAUGAAAAAUGCAGG